UGACUUAAUGACCCUGAAUACAAAUAUAGACGGAGAGUGCAAAAAUUGCCGCUGUGAGAUGGAAUGAAUAUUAUGGGAUGCCUCAAUGACCCAAACUGAAUUAUGGAUAUUAUUUGUUCUAUAAAUGUUUCAAGUAUUUGGAUGCUUUGAUGUUCCUAAAGAAAACAUUGUGAACACUAUCUUAAAUGGUAUUUUGAUAUGUGAAAUUUUACUCCUUUAAAAUAUAAUAACAGAUGAAUCUAUUGUGCUUUGAUGAUUCUUACGACAAUCCUAGAUUGACAAUUGUCGCUUGAAAUAGAACACGAGAUGUCUUGAUGAUUUGAAACGAGUCAUUUAUAUUAUUUGUUCCAUGAAUUUUUGAAAUGUUGGUAUGCCUCAUUGACCCUAAAGGAAACAUGAAUAUCUUACUCAUAAUGUAAAAGUCAGAUGCUGAGAAACAUAAUUUGCUCCAUUUUAUAGCUAUUGGGAAGUCUCGAUGACUGGGAUGGAAUCCAAGCAUUACUGGUUCAAUUAAUUUUGUAAGUGUUGGCUCCGUAGACGACCCUCUAAACGAAGCAUUGUGAAUAUUUUACUCAAAAGUCGGAUGAUGACUUGAUAUGAAUUUUUAUUCAUAAUGUAAUGGAUGAUAUCUAUUGUAAGCUUUUAUGAUUCUAAACACAAUUCUUGACUGUGACUUGUCCCUAUGAGAUAGGAUCAUAUUCCAUGAUAUUAGAAAGGGAUGGUAUAUAUGAGCCUAAUAACCCUGAGUUUGAUUGCAGGAAUCAAUAAAUAUUUUUUGCUUCUUGAGUUUUGUAAGUAUUGGGAUGCCUUGAUGACCAUUGAAGAAACUACACAAUGAACACUUUAUUCAUAAUGGGAAAGCUUGAUGACGCCUAAACAUUAAUUUGAAUAUUAAUUUUUAAUCAUUACAACAUUAAGAAUGAUAUAUUGUGUUUUUAUAAUCCUAAAUGUAAUUAUGUAUUGUGAAUUGCCAUUGUAAGAUACAAUAUGCUUUCUUAAUCUAACUAUGGGGUGGUAUAUAUGCAUGAGUUUAAUAACCCCAACUUCAACUGAAAGAUGAACAUACUUUGCUCAAUGAUUUUUUUGAAUAGCGAAAUGUGUUGAUGACCCUAAAAUCUUAGAUGAAGCCUUAGUGUGAUAGUUGAAGGAUGACAAUAAUCCCACUUUAAUAUGGAUAUGUGUUCAUAAUAUAAAGGAUGAUAUCUAUUGUACGAUUGUAAAUAAACUUUAAUAUCUAAAUGCAACUAUUAUAUAACGUGAUUUGCAGAUACAAUGAUAUCCAAAUGUACUUAUGUUGUAGAAGGAUGCCUGAUCUGCAUGUUGAAGAUCAAUGGAGGAAAUUCUCAUAACUAUGAUGGUUUAGAGGUCGAGGAUCUCUGCUACAACGAAUAUAAUUGCCCCUUAAAAAGAGGACGAUUAGGAGGAUAACACUGAAAAAGGUUGCUAGCCUUUCUGCUCCAAAGUAACAAAAUAUGUAUUUGUAAGUAAGAAAAUAUCAUACUUUCACUUUCAAUGUCUGGGGGUAUUCAAUUCUGGUUUUAGAGAGGCUGAUGUUGUCAUGUAAUUGCCCAAAUCUUUGUAACUGAGCAUGUUGUCUACUGUUGGAUAUGUCGUGUUUCCCUUGAUAUUUGAUUUGAUAACAUUGUCCUUGUUAUACUUCAUUUGCUUUUCUAUUUAUAUUAAAUACUCGAAAGUAUUAUUGUUUAAUUACACACUGCACUGCCCAAAUUGUUGAAUGUGUGAUCUAAAUAAGUUUAAUCUUUUCUGCUAUUGAUUGAAAAAAAAGUUCUUGGUGAGUCUACAAGUGAUAACAUUGACAUAGGAUUUACAUUCAUAGUAGUUUGUCAACCUUUUAGAUUUAUUAUGGUCAAUUGGCCCUGAGAUUGAGACUGUGGUGGGAACACUGAUGUUUUGGUUGCAUGAUAAGAAUUUUGUGGGAAGAAUAACAGAUGCAAGGAACUUUGUCAAGGAGAUAAAAUCAUAUAUCAAAGGUUUUUUAUUUGUUUCUACUCAUGUUUUAGGUUGUAAGUGAAUGUAGAAACAAAUUUUUAUUUUUGCCAACUCUUUUCAUGGAGAUAAACCAUAUAUUAAGGUUUUUAUAUUACUACUUUUUUUCCUGUAUGGUGUUGAACCAGUUGAAGUGCAGUUCUGGAUAUGGACGAAAGGCAUCUGAUCUUACCAUUAUGUAUGUGUCAUUUUGGCUUUUGGCCUUAUAUUGCUAUUUUAGUGUGUAUAAAUUUUAUUAUUGUAUUAAGUAGAUAUUAGAAGCCAAGAAAUUAAUCUAAGCUUCAUUUAUAAUAGGGUUAAAUAAGCUUUUGGUCCCUCUAAAAUUUUGAAAUUUUGCUUUUAGUCCCUGUACAAUAAAAUUAAAAUUACAGGGACCAAAUGUACAAACAGUGAUAUUUAGAAGGACUAUAAAGUGCAAUUUUAUUUUACAGGGACUAAAAACAAAAUUCUAAAAUUUUAGAGGGACUAAAAACAUACUUAACCCUUUAUAAUAUUACAUGUUUGAUUGGUCUUUUGUCACCACUAAGCAAAUUUUCCCCAUCCGAAACAAAUAUUUUUCUACAAAUUGUGGGAACAACUCUUAAUAUUUAUCUUUGUUACAUUCUAUAAUUCUACUGCUUUUCAGCUAGGUAUUUGGUGUAGAACCAACUGAAAGUGAAGUUCUGUAUAUUUGUUCUUUUGUCUACAGUCCUCUAUAUAGCUAAUUAAGUGUGUGUAAAUAUUAUGCUCUAUUGCUGUGUGGAUUUAAGAUUAGAAGUUAUGACAUCCAAAUACCCAUUUUUAAUAUUCAAUCAGUGUAUCAGAUUAUGUAGAUGUACCUUAUUACAUAUGAUAAACAAGAGAAUUGGGACGCAUCCAACUUGAAUAUGGGAAAAUGAAAACUUGGUGAAGGGACUUGUGCAGAGAUGUACUAAUUGGACAGAACCUGAAGACCGCAGCUACAAAGUCAAUAGUGCCUCAAUUUGAAUUUGAUUCAUUCCAAAUAUAUGAGAUGGAUUAUUGAAUGCCUCAAUGACACGAAAGGAAUCAAUGAAUAUUAUUUGUUAUAUAAAUUGUUGCUAUUAUUUGGAUGUCUUGUUGACCCUAAAGAAACAUUAUGAAAUCUUUACUCAAUAUUUGAAAGUUGCAUGAUGCCUUCAAUGCGAUGUUGAUGUGAAUUGAAUUUGACCCUUAGGGAUGGAUUAUUUAAUGCCACGAUGACCUGAAACGAAUCACAAAUAUUAUUUAUUCCAUAAAAUGUUGUUAGUAUUAAGGAUGAUAUCUAUUGUAUGCUUAUAAACUUCAGUAUCUAAAUGCAACUACUAUGUAAAGUGAUUUGCAGAUACAAUGUUAUCAAGUGUGUUGGAUUAGCCUAUGAACUGAAGUACUUAUGUUGUAGAAGGAUGCCUGAUUUGCAUGUUGGAGAUCAAUGGAGGAAAUUCUCAUAACUAUGAAGGCUUAGAGGUCAAGGAUCUCUACUACAACGAAUAUAAUUGUCCCGUGAAAAUGAGGACGGUACGGAGGAUAACACUGAAAAAGGUUGCUAGCCUUUCUGCCCCAAAGUAACAAAAUAUGAAUUUUUAGGUAAGAAAAUAUCAUACUUUCACUUUCAAUGUCUGGGGUAUUCAAUUAUGCUUUUAGAGAGGCUUAUAUCGUCAUGUAAUUGCCCAAAUCUUUGUAGCUAAGCAUGUUGUCCACUGUUGGAUAUGUCCUGUUUCCCUUGAUAUUUGAUUUGAUAACAUGUUCUAUUUCUAUUAAAUACUUGAAAGUAUAAUUGUCUAGUUACACACUGCACUGCCCAAAUUGUUGAAUGUGUGAUCUAAAUAAGUUUAAUCUUUUCUGCCAAUGAUUGAAAAGAAAGUGCUUAUUGAUUCUACAAGUGAUAAGUGAUAACAUUGACAUAGGAUUUAUAUUCAUGGUAGUUUGUUAACCUUUUAGAUUUAUUAUGAGACAAUUGGCCCUGAGAUUGAGACUGUGGUGGGAACAUUGUUGUUUUGUUUGCAGGAUAAUAAUUUUGGGGGUAAAAGAAUAACAGAUGCAAGGAACUUUGUCAAGGAGAUAAAAUCAUAUAUCAAAGGUUUUUUAUUUGUUUCUGCUCAUGUUUUAGGUUGUAAGUGAAUGUAGAAACAAGUUUUAAUUUUUAUUUUUGCCAGUUCUGGAUAUGGACGAAAGGCAUCUGAUCUUACCACUAUGUAUGUGUCUUUUUG
rnacentral:lncRNA from 1 species